UCCUCAGUAGCUCAGCGGUAGAGCGGUCGGCUGUUAACUGACUGGUCGUAGGUUCGAAUCCUACUUCGUAGGUUCGAAUCCUACUUGAGGAG
rnacentral:tRNA from 1 species